rnacentral:rRNA from 1 species
AGAGUUUGAUCAUGGCUCAGGAUUAACGCUGGCGGUAUGCCUAACACAUGCAAGUCGAACGGAAUACUCGAAAAAGAGAAUCUCACACUAGUGAGAGGUUCUCCAACCGAGUAUUUAGUGGCGGACGGGUGAGUAACACGUUGGAACCUGCCCCGAAGUGGGGAAUAACUGCUCGAAAGAGUAGCUAAUACCCCAUAGUAUCCGGUUUAUCCGGAUUAAAGAUUUAUCGCUUCGGGAGGGGCCUGCGUCUGAUUAGCUUGUUGGUGGGGUAAAAGCUCACCAAGGCGACGAUCAGUAGCUGGUUCGAGAGGAUGACCAGCCACACUGGGACUGAGAUACGGCCCAGACUCCUACGGGAGGCAGCAGUGAGGAAUCUUCCACAAUGGACGAAAGUCUGAUGGAGCAAUACCGCGUGCAGGACGACGCUUUUCGGAGUGUAAACUGCUUUUGUCGUCGAAGAUUAUGACUGUAGACGAAGAAUAAGGACCGGCUAACUACGUG